GGGGAUGCAUUGCAUCGACAGAAUUGCUCUUUAAAAACUGCAAGCCGAUAAUGAUACUAAUCGUAAAAAUGUAUCAAAAAUAAAUGCUAACAGAAAUGUUAGUCCGGCCUACAGCUACGCAGUAGCUUAAACUGGUGUUCAUAUCUAGAUUUUUCCAAACGAUCAGAUAUGGGCAUAAACAAAGUUUGGAUAUAGACAAAGUUCCGAUUUAGAUUUUGUUCGAACAAUUUAAAUCUUAGUCAUGUUCAAUCCUUUCAAUUGGAGUUUGCAUGAUGACAAUAAAUAAUUGAAUAAGCUUGUAGAUGUUUUUAUAGAUGCUUUUUUGGACGGGGGCUCAAAGCCCCCCAUCUCCACCG
rnacentral:tmRNA from 6 species